rnacentral:tRNA from 1 species
GCCUUCGUGGUGUAGUGAUCAGCACACUCGGCGCGUAACCGAGGGGUACGUGGUUCGAUUCCCGGCGAAGGCA